rnacentral:rRNA from 1 species
CAAUAGCGUAUAUUAAAGUUGUUGCAGUUAAAAAGCUCGUAGUUGAAUUUCUGCUUAAAAAAAUCGCUGCAGCUCUGCUGAUGUGUGGUUGAGUUUAAGCAUCCCUUCAGAAUCUCUCCUGCACUUCACUGUGUGGGGUGUGGUUCUGAAAACUUUACUUUGAGAAAAUUAGAGUGUUUCAAGCAAGCUAUCGCUUUGAAUACUGCAGCAUGGAAUAAUAUCAUAAGACUUUGGUCUUAUUUUGUUGGUUUCUAAGGCUGAAGUAAUGAUUGAUAGGGACAGUUGGGGGCAUUCGUAUUUAACUGUCAGAGGUGAAAUUCUUGGAUUUGUUAAAGACGAACUACUGCGAAAGCAUUUGCCAGGGAUGUUUNCAUUAA